GGAUGCUUGCGGGCCCGUGUGGGGUACCAACAGCAGCCAAACUCCGAAUACCGUUGAUGUGUAUUCCGGCAGUGAGUCGGCGGGGGAUAAGCUCCGUCGUCGAGAGGGAGACAGCCCAGAUCGUCGUCUAAGGUCCCGAAGCGUGUGCUAAGUGGGAAAGGAUGUGGAGUCGCAUAGACAGCCAGGAGGUUGGCUCAGAAGCAGCCAUCCUUGAAAGAGUGCGUAACAGCUCACUGGUCUAGUGGUUCCGCGCCGACAAUGUAGCGGGGCUCAAGCACACCACCGAAGACGCGGCAGCGGCCUUUGUGGCCGCUGGGUAGGAGAGCGUCCCCCGAGGGGCGAAGCGGCCGCGCAAGCGCGCCGUGGACUUCGGGGGAGUGAGAAUGCAGACAUGAGUAGCGAGAGACGGGUGAGGAUCCCGUCCGCUGGAUGACCAAGGGUUCCGGGGCCACGUUCGUCGUCCCCGGGUGAGUCGGGUCCUAAGGCGAGGCCGACAGGCGUAGUCGAAUGGAUGAACGGGUGGAUAUUCCCGUACCGGCAGCGAACCGUCCGAACCGAACGGAUGAGUACUAACCUCCGGUCGCGUGGCGUCGUUCCCUUCGGGGUUCGGGGCGCGCGAUUGUUGGGAAUGUAGUCCUGGUAGGUUAGCGCACAGGGGUGACACGGAAUGGGAGCCGGCCGCGGAGGUGGUUUUCCGUGGUCAAGCACGCAGCCCGUCCCAUAGGCAAAUCCGUGGGACAUGCAGGGUGAGGUGCGAUGAUGGGCGCCUUUCAUGGCGCGAUAUCCGGUGGUCCAGGCCGUCGAGAAAAGCCUCGGCGCGAGGGGCGUUGCCGCCCGUACCCCAAACCGACACUGGUGGUCAGGUAGAGAAUACCAAGGCGAUCGAGCGAAUCCUGGUCAAGGAACUCGGCAAAUCACUCCCGUGCCUUCGGUAUAAGGGAGACCCCUGAUGGUGAUGGAACUUGCUUCCGGAGCUUUCGGGGGUGGCACAGACCAGGGGGUAGCGACUGUUUACCAAAAACACAGGUGCAUGCGAAGGCGCAAGCCGCUGUAUAUGCACUGACGCCUGCCCGGUGCCGGAAGGUUAAGAGGAUCCGUCAGCCCUCGGGUGAAGCGGUGAAUUCAAGCCCCGGUAAACGGCGGUGGUAACUAUAACCAUCCUAAGGUAGCGAAAUUCCUUGUCGGGUAAGUUCCGACCUGCACGAAUGGCGUAACGACUUCCCCACUGUCUCGACCAGGAGCUCGGCGAAAUUGCAGUACGAGUAAAGAUGCUCGUUAAGCGCAGAAGGACGAAAAGACCCCGGGACCUUUACUAUACCUUGGUAUUGGCGUUAGGCGCGGAUUGUGUAGCAUAGGCGGGAGGCUUCGAAGCGCGGGCGCCAGCCCGUGUGGAGCCGCAAGGUGAAAUACCGCUCUGUUCUCGUUUGACGUCUCACCUCGAACAGUCAUCCUGUUCAGGGACAGUGCCUGGCGGGUAGUUUAACUGGGGCGGUUGCCUCCCAAAGAGUAACGGAGGCGCUCAAAGGUCCGCUCAGCCCGGUUGGCAAUCGGGUGUCGAGUGUAAUCGCACAAGCGGGCUUGACUGCGAGAACGACGGUUCGGGCAGGGACGAAAGUCGGAGAUAGUGAUCCGGUGCCGGCGCACGGGCGCGGCAUCGCUCAACGGAUAAAAGGUACCCCGGGGAUAACAGGCUGAUCAUUCCCAAGAGUCCAUAUCGACGGGAUGGUUUGGCACCUCGAUGUCGGCUCGUCGCAUCCUGGGGCUGGAGCAGGUCCCAAGGGUUCGGCUGUUCGCCGAUUAAAGCGGCACGCGAGCUGGGUUCAGAACGUCGUGAGACAGUUUGGUCUCUAUCCUCUGCGCUCGUUGGAAUCCUGAGGAGGCCUGCCCAUAGUACGAGAGGACCUGGGUGGACGGACCUCUGGUAUGCCGGUUGUCGCGCCAGCGGCAUGGCCGGUUGGCUACGUUCGGGAGGGAUAACCGCUGAAAGCAUCUAAGCGGGAAGCCUGCUCCAAGAUUAGG
rnacentral:rRNA from 1 species